GCAUAUCUAUGAGCGGAGGAAAAGAAACCAACAGGGAUUGCCCUAGUAACGGCGAGUGAAGCGGCAAGAGCUCAAAUUUGAAAGCUGGCUCCUUCGGGGUCCGCAUUGUAAUUUGCAGAGGAUGCUUCGGGAGCGGUCCCCGUCUAAGUGCCCUGGAACGGGCCGUCAUAGAGGGUGAGAAUCCCGUAUGGGACGGGGUGUCCGCGCCCGUGUGAAGCUCCUUCGACGAGUCGAGUUGUUUGGGAAUGCAGCUCUAAAUGGGUGGUAAAUUUCAUCUAAAGCUAAAUAUUGGCCGGAGACCGAUAGCGCACAAGUAGAGUGAUCGAAAGAUGAAAAGCACUUUGAAAAGAGAGUUAAAAAGCACGUGAAAUUGUUGAAAGGGAAGCGCUUGCGACCAGACUCGCCUACGGGGUUCAGCCGGCAUUCGUGCCGGUGUACUUCCCCGUGGGCGGGCCAGCGUCGGUUUGGGCGGCCGGUCAAAGGCUCCCGGAAUGUAACGCCUCUCGGGGCGUCUUAUAGCCGGGGGUGCAAUGCGGCCUGCCUGGACCGAGGAACGCGCUUCGGCACGGACGCUGGCAUAAUGGUCGUAAGCGACCCGUCUUGAAACACGGACCAAGGAGUCUAACAUCUACGCGAGUGUUCGGGUGUCAAACCCGUACGCGCAGUGAAAGCGAACGGAGGUGGGAACCCUUACGGGUGCACCAUCGACCGAUCCUGAUGUCUUCGGAUGGAUUUGAGUAAGAGCGUAGCUGUUGGGACCCGAAAGAUGGUGAACUAUGCCUGAAUAGGGCGAAGCCAGAGGAAACUCUGGUGGAGGCUCGCAGCGGUUCUGACGUGCAAAUCGAUCGUCGAAUUUGGGUAUAGGGGGCGAAAGACUAAUCGAACCAUCUGGUAGCUGGUUCCUGCCGAAGU
rnacentral:rRNA from 1 species